GUCUACAGCCAUACCACCCUGAAUGCACCUGAUCUCGUCUGACCUGGGAAACUCAGCAGGGUCGGGCCUGAUUAGUACUUACAUGGAAGAACUACCUGUCUGAACU
rnacentral:rRNA from 1 species